AUGGUCCUCUGUGGGCAUCUUACUAGACAGUGCUGGAUUUUUUGGAUCUACUCUAACACUGUCUGGUAACGAUGUUUAAAGGGUGAACCAAAC
ensembl:miRNA